AUGGGCCGCCCAGCAUCCGGAGCUGCCUGUAAAGUUCCUCUCAGCGCCUGCAGAAGCUUUGUAGAGGUGCAGCUGACUGUGAUCAGGGGCUUUAUUUGUCUGUGGAAUCUGGGAGCCAGUGGGAGCCAGUGUGAGAAAGGCGAGGUGUACAAGCCUGCCGUCGGAAGUGUUCCAAUCCAAGUUUCUGGAAUUUCAAGCUGCAUGGCAUUAGCUUCUUUUCCCUUGAACUGAUUCGUGGGAGACGAGCGAAACCCAAAAAACCCAUGUUCAGACCUGAUGCUAAGGGGCUGAAUGACGCUGGACAGAACAUAAUACCUUGGGUCCUCAAUUUUGUGAUGAUGGUUAAAUGAGUGAUUCUCAAACCAGUUCUGACAUCUUGAAAAGGUGCUUCUGACUUCACAGUUACCAUGUAAUUAGAGCUUUGAAAUGACAGUGCAGUGAACUCUCCUUGAUAUUCCCCUAAGCCUCUACAUUGAAUGGUGAUGAGGAUCCUAUUUGGAAGCUUUCAAUGGUGUCUUCUCCAGGGGAAAAGGUGAAGAAUAUUUUGUAAGCGACACUGUCUUUUCAAUUUUUACCUCCUGAUUUUGAGCACGGCGAUUCUACUAAGCUGUGUUUUCUUUUCCCUGUGAAAAUGGUUUUGUGAGAAAAUGUAACCAGUGCAAUUAUACUGAACUUUCAUAAGAUGAAACGUUAAUAAAAUGAAUGUUUGACCAAUAAAAUACUUGAUGCUAAAUUAAAUGGGCCUGAAGGGAAUUAUACUUUGGAGCAAACUCCAUGGGAAACAGGAUGAAAA
rnacentral:lncRNA from 1 species